UACGUAGGGUGCGAGCGUUGUCCGGAAUUAUUGGGCGUAAAGAGCUUGUAGGUGGUUUGUCGCGUCUGCUGUGAAAAUCAGGGCUCAACCCUGGACCUGCAGUGGGUACGGGCAGACUAGAGUGCGGUAGGGGAGAUCGGAAUUCCUGGUGUAGCGGUGAAAUGCGCAGAUAUCAGGAGGAACACCGGUGGCGAAGGCGGAUCUCUGGGCCGUAAACUGACGCUGGAGGAGCGAAAGCAUGGGGAGCGAACAGG
rnacentral:rRNA from 1 species